UGGAAACCGGGCGACCGGCAUCUUGGCAGCGGGUUUCUGUUACGUGGGCUUUCUCGUCAGCCCAGAGUUCUGUAAUGUGACAGUUGCUGCAAGGGACAGUCUUCAGGGAUUGUUGCUUUGAAGGAACAGCUUUCGCAGUGCCUUGGGUGCCCUGCAGUGGGUCUGCUUUCCCAGGGAACCCUGGAUCUUGGGGGUGCUUCCUGUCCUCUCCAGGAUACCCAUCUGCAUCACUUAAAUGAGCCAAGUGAGUCACUUGCUUCCUGAACACAAUCUCCACUCCUCCUACCCACUGCAUAGAUCUGCUGCCCAAGACCUUUGAUGAUCUUGAAAAGCAACUGUGAGGAACAGGAGAAAAUAUAUUUACACUUAGGAUUGCCAGCAGACGGCCCAUUCCCUCAUGGAUGGAGACAAAGCUGGGAUCUUGGAGAACUGCAUGGCAGUGACCCUCUGCUCACCCCGCGGGGCUGAGUCCUGAGUGGGUUUUCACCACAGUUCUGUGCACCUGGAGAUGGGGCAAUAAGGUGAAGCAUGUGACUAUCAGUCAUCACUGCUGAUGCUCCAAACAGAGGUUAUGCCUGUGUGUGUGAGCAGCAGGGACUGACUGACCUGAGACCUGAGGGACCAGCCUCCCCCACAUCUGUUAAUAAAAAGGGACAGAAGAGCAAGCACUGGCCAGGUGCACGCUGCCCAGAGCGCCUGUGGGAAUUCUGACUGCCGUUCCUUCUGCUGCCUCAUAAGAGCUGCCUAGCUAUCCUCAGGGGAAGAGAAAUUAAAUAAAAAUAAAUGAGGUAUAAGUAGCUGUCUUGGAAAA